AUCUUCCGCAAUGGACGAAAGUCUGACGGAGCAACGCCGCGUGAGUGAUGAAGGUUUUCGUAUCGUAAAGCUCUGUUGUUAGGGAAGAACAAGUACCGGUCGAAUAGGGCGGUCCCUUGACGGUACCUAACCAGAAAGCCACGGCUAACUACGUGCCAGCAGCCGCGGUAAUACGUAGGUGGCAAGCGUUGUCCGGAAUUAUUGGGCGUAAAGCGCGCGCAGGCGGCUUCUUAAGUCAGGUGUGAAAGCCCACGGCUCAACCGUGGAGGGCCACUUGAAACUGGGGAACUUGAGUGCAGAAGAGGAGAGUGGAAUUCCACGUGUAGCGGUGAAAUGCGUAGAGAUGUGGAGGAACACCAGUGGCGAAGGCGACUCUCUGGUCUGUAACUGACGCUGAGGAGCGAAAGCGUGGGGAGCGAACAGG
rnacentral:rRNA from 1 species